UACGUAGGGUGCGAGCGUUGUCCGGAAUUAUUGGGCGUAAAGGGCUCGUAGGCGGUUUGUCGCGUCGGGAGUGAAAACACCGGGCUUAACUCGGUGCUUGCUUUCGAUACGGGCAGACUAGAGGCAUGCAGGGGAGAACGGAAUUCCUGGUGUAGCGGUGAAAUGCGCAGAUAUCGGGAGGAACACCGGUGGCGAAGGCGGUUCUCUGGGCCUUACCUGACGCUGAGGAGCGAAAGCGUGGGGAGCGAACAGG
rnacentral:rRNA from 1 species